UUUUUGGAGGACGUGCCUAUUUUGAUGGAUUUUCUUCCUCCCUUAACCCAAUUUUACUCAAACACUUUCAAUUUUCCUAUCAUUCAUUCUUCUCUUUCGUGAAUUCACUCAAACUCUUCUCAAUUUCGAUACUCCCAGUUCCGGCGAGGGAUCGUUGCCCCGUCCUUCUCCCUGGAUCAGCCGUCUCACUCUCUCUCUCUCUCUCGUUCUCACUUUAUCUUCCAAAUUCUCCUUUCAAUUUCCUGAUUUGGGUUGAAUGCUCACGCACAAGGUCGAGACCUAGCUCUUACUCUCAGAGAGUCGCGCCGCCACUGCCGAGACAAGUUCCGCCGAACGGUUGCUACUUCCUUCUCCUCCGGCGACUUUGGGCCCACGCUCUUGCCUCUCUGUUUUCUCUCCUUUCAAAAAUUCCGCCGCCUUCACUGGGGAUUCCGGCGAACCCUAGUCUCUCCCAAAAGAAAGAUGCUGGCUGCCUAUGUCUUCGCCUGGAUUCGCGAUUUCCAUCUCCUAGCCUCCACCCGCCGUCGACUUCUCCCACUGCUGGACGGAGCGGAGCAGCCCGCUAUUGCCAGCGCCGUCUCCUGAAGCUGCGUCGCUAUUUGCCACACACCCGGCUCCGACAUCGCAGUCGCUCCACCGCCUCACUUCCAAGGGAGUCACCACCGUUGCCAUGGGCGGCAUCCUCCGGUUAAACGCCGUUCCUCUUCCUCCGGUCAUCUGUGGCUGGACGUUGGAGCAGGACAGCGUCACCCAUUUGCGGUUCUCACAAGCUCAAGGGGAGUCUCUUACAAACAGAUUUUUAUUGAAGUAGGUGAACAAGGGAAUCAAAAUUCUAAACAAGAUUCAUCUCGUUGCUAUGCAAUUCUAGGGGAGAUCGGGUCAAUUUGGUUAGAGCUGGUAAACACCAGGUUGUUUUUCUUGUGAAAUGACCAAAUUUACUUGGUCUGCAUAAGUUGCACAGAAGAACCUUAUGAAUCAUUGAAGGGUCAGCUGGAGUUACUGUAUGGUCAGAUCCGAGACGGCGCGGCGCUGAGGCGGCGGCGUGGUGAAGGACGGGGCGGCGCGGCCGAGGUCAGACUCCGCUGGACGCCAUCGGAAGCAGAAAUAGAGAGAGAGAGAAAUCGGCGCUGGCUGAGAUCCGACGGCGGAUGCGCCGCUGCCGGGGUUGGUAGCUCUGCUUCUGGCCUCGUCGUGCGUGCGGCAACGCCGCUUGAAAAAGAGAAAUCCAGAGGGGAAGUCCUCGAAGCUGCUGACACAGGACGCAGGAGACGGCGGAGGAGACGGGCGCCAGAGCCAGGGAGGCGGUGGAGUACACUGUGGAGAGGACGAAGGGGGCGGCCGACGCCGCUGCACAGAAGGCUGUAGAGACUAAGGAUGCGACGACGGAGAAGAGAGAGAAGAGAGAGAGAGAGAGAGGAGAGAGCGUGCAGAGUGAGAGAGAAGAGAGAGAAAAAAAAUGAGAGAAUGAAAGGAAAUUAGGGUU